UGAGGUCAGUGCGGUGGAGUUGCAGGAGCUGCGCGUGCGGAGGAGCUAUGGAGCUGACCCCGGGAGCCAGGAGCAUGAGGACCUGGAGUCUGUGUCAGAUUUGUACCUCCGGGUCGGAUUCUCGUCCUUAUGAAAUAGUCAAACAGCCUCGCCAUGCACCAGAAGAAUAUAAACCAAAGCAGGGGGAGAUUGAUCUUGGUACUACCUACAAAUGGCAUCUUAAUUCUUGUAAAGUGCAGCGUGUGGCAAUAGCUCGGCCUUUGGAGAGACAAGUUAAAAAAGGGAAGUUGGAUACUGUCCCGACCUAUAAAGAUUUCAAGGCAUCUGCAUAGUGUACCCUGAGUCAAGUUUUGGUUGGCAGUGUCAAGAUGGCUGCACUGCUCCUCGCUGUGUUCAAGUUAGAAAGAGGCAUUGUGGUGUGACAAGUAAAGGCUCUGUGGCUUGGGAAUCAAAGCACCUGUGUUCAAGUUUCAAUGACACCAGUUUCUACUUGUGCCAUCCUAGGGGUAUGUGUUAGCAGCUCUGAAACUACAUGUAUAAUAAGGUCAAACCAAGAAAAUAUAUUGCAGAUAAUGAAAGCCAGGCUUCUCCCUGUCAGAGAAAGAAGUUGACAAACAAGAAAAAGUUCUCUGAGAGCAAGGACAAGAUGCCAUUCCCCCAGGAUGCCUGGAUCAGUCAGGGUCACAAGCCUGUCCAGAGCGAUUGUCUCCUUUUCACAGACUAAACAACUCUAAGUUGCAUUCACAUCAAAGCAGCUAAUCUCCUGAUGUCCCAAGAUACCACAUCCGUUCAGAACAGCCCUGUGGGCGAGACCCUGACAAGGUUGGCUCCAUGCGGUCCGGUUUGCACAAGGCUUCGGGGUGGUCACGGUACCUGAGAGGGGUACGUACUAUCACAGGAAGGCCCCAGGCAGUGCCGCCAGGAAGAGGGUUUCUUCCCCGGUUCGCGGCAUCUCUCAGCCACCGUCUUGCAGCUCCUCGUGUGGACACAGUCCACCUUCCGAGACUGGAAGCUCUGACCACAGGCUGACGUACAGGGUCUCCAAGGGCCUGCGCGCCAACAUGCGUCACAAGCCCCCGACGAGCAGUUCCUCCAAAAGGUGGGUCUGAAAUGAGAAAAACAAACAAAAAAGUGGACAACAGGAGAAAGUGGGGUGUCACUUCUUGCUGGGAUCAAGCCUUUUACUGUACUGUACUUUCCGUAUAGCAAAGGCUUGACAAUUCGGACCUUAUUCAACAGGAAACUCAUCUGCAUUGCUCCUGGCUGACUAAGCAAAGUGGUGGAGGAAUCACAACCUCAGUAGAGGCGAGCAAACCACGUGUUUCCAUGAGCCUCCAGCACCACAUCAAGGCACGCACCUCAAAAGACACAGUCUCCUGAUGAGCUGGAGCAGAUCGAUUUAGGCAAGGAAGAGAAGAAUGACACAUUUGUUAACAAACUAAGACAGGGCCGGUGGGAAGUCAGAAGAAACUAUGUAGCUUCCUAAACAUGAAAGAUGAGAGAGGCACAAGGAGCUAGAGACCAAGGCAGAUGCUGAAACUCAGGAGGCUGGUCAUUGAGGAUGCAGCGAAAGAGUGCAAGGAUUUUAAACAAGAGAACAUUGAAACCUAUUGUCCAAGCUUUAUAUUCAAGGAUGCUGCCAGGAGAUGGAGGGGACUCCUAAGAUGACACUUGUUCUACUGCCUCUCUUCUGGUAUGAUGACUGUGACACAUGUGAAUCGAAGUAAGUGAAUUUUCUGUAGCAAUGCCUCAUACUCAACUCAGCAACUUCCUUACAACUCUUCUUUGAGCCACAAUUUUUCAAAUACCGAAGUAAAGGAUAAAAUACCUGUUCUAAAAUAUUCUUAAGGUGAGAACAGGCC